rnacentral:rRNA from 1 species
CGCUAUUAAUUUUGUUGCAGUUAAGAAGCUCCUAAUUGGACCAUAAGGAAGCGCAUUUCAAGCGCCCGUGUCGUCGGGUCAAACCGGCGACUGCGUUGGCGUUGCGGGCUCGGUCCGUCGGUGGACCCUCGUGGUCUUAAUCGGCGUGUCAACCGGCCCGCCCGUCCCCUCCUUCUGGAUUCCCGUUCCUGCUAUUGAGUUAGUGGGGACGUCACAGGGGGCUCAUCUGUCGUCUUGCAAAUGGCGGCGGUGGUCUCCCUGGGG